ensembl:lncRNA
GGCUUUUCUGGAACAGAGACAAAGUACAAAAGCCAUGAUGCUGUGAUCAAAGAUGGAGUCACCGGCUGAGCUCAGUGGCUGGACUGUGGCCCACACUGAUGAACGAAUCCUCCAGGAGUGAGACUCCUUUGGAGUUAUUGGCUGGUGAAAAUAAGCAAAGGACUGCAAAGAUCCACGGGUCAUGUGAGGCAGUCUGGUCUGCGGCAGCUGACAGCAGAGACUCCAGGAGGCCGAGGAAGGCACCCGCUCUCCUCCCACGGGUCUGGUGGGUCUGAUUUGCCUGAAGCCAGUGGAAGAUAAACAGGCAGCGGCUCAGGACUACAGACCUUUCAAGGGAUCAGGUCCAUGUGACAGCAGCCACCAAGAGUCCCCAGCUGAAGGAUCCAGCCUCUGCCCACCUGCCCAUCAAACAUGGAGGCUCCAGGAAUUGUCAUCACAGGAAAGGCCAAGAGUCAGAAAGAUCAGCUGAGCCACCCCCCACCCCAGGCAGCUUCCUUAUAAGGAAGAAGAAGAGGAGCAGGAGGACGAAGUCAUGGCUUCUAGAGGCUCAUCCCUAAGAUGUCCUAGUGGAAGAAGCCAGAGUUCUGUCUCCAGGGGCUUUGUGCAAGACCUGGGGUGGGGUGGGGUCACUACCAGCCCCUAUCUUUGGCCCCUCCCUCUCACCCUAACCCUCUCUGCCUCAAGGUGGCUAGGAGCACAGUCUGUAAGUCUCGUGACACUCCAUAUUAUCAUUAGGUUGAGUUUGCAACAUAAGCCUCAGUUUUGCUGUUCUGGAAUGCCUUCUGAAUAUGCCUGAGUAAUGUCUUCCUCUGGUUUUGAUGUUUAUUCCAAGGAGGAAUGUCACUGGAAUGCAUCUUCUACUGACACCCAGGCUACUGGUCCUCAACCUUGAGGCUGACCAAGCUGGCUUACCCAUUGGAUAAUGUGGUUUGCCAGGUAUGGGCCAGGUUGAGCAUGUCUCCAAGACAAGCAGCACAGUUAGGGACACAGUCUGUGGCCAUAAUGAUUACAAUAGAAAUGAACAAGUAGCUAGUUUCUUAAAGCAUGUCCCAUAUACUCAGCUCUGAGCCAAUGGAAACCCAUGCAGGAUCUGAUCUCAUCAUCUUAGGCAAACUGAUUAGUUACCAAUAUCCCCAUUUUACGGAUGAGAAAAUGAAAGCUCUAAAACUGAGAAAACUUGAAGGAGAACAAGAUGGUAGAGGAGUAGGUGGACGUGGAGUACAUCUUUCUCCAUGGAUACAUCAGGAAUACACCUUCAGACACAGAAGUGCAUGCAGAACACCAGCUGAGAGCAUACAGGAGUACCUGACCAGAGGAAAAGAAUAUAUAGAACCACUCCAAACUUGAGAUCAAGCCCUGAGCCUUUGGAGUGGGACCGCUGACUCCAAGACCCUAGACUACCAGAGAACUAAUCCUAGGGAGUAUCAAAUAGUGAGAACUCACACAAAGGAAACCGCUUGAAUACAAAACCCAGCAUCACCCAACCACCAGUAGCACCCUGUGCAGGACGCCUCAUCUAAACAACAAACUAAGAAAAAUACAAACCCAGUCAUCAGCAGACAGGAUUACCACCUCAUUCAGCCUUGCCCAUCAGAGAAAAACAAACAAACAAAAACUCAGCACAAAUCUCACCAUAUACAAAGCUUAGAC